rnacentral:rRNA from 1 species
GUGAGGAAUAUUGGUCAAUGGGCGCAAGCCUGAACCAGCCAUGCCGCGUGCAGGAAGACGGUCCUAUGGAUUGUAAACUGCUUUUAUUUGGGAAUAAACUCCGGUACGUGUACCGGCCUGAAGGUACCAAAUGAAUAAGCACCGGCUAACUCCGUGCCAGCAGCCGCGGUAAUACGGAGGGUGCAAGCGUUAUCCGGAAUCAUUGGGUUUAAAGGGUCCGCAGGCGGUCUUAUAAGUCAGUGGUGAAAGCCUACAGCUCAACUGUAGAACUGCCAUUGAUACUGUAGGACUUGAAUUCGAUCGAAGUGGGCGGAAUGUGACAUGUAGCGGUGAAAUGCUUAGAUAUGGCACAGAACACCAAUUGCGAAGGCAGCUCACUAAGGCGAUACUGACGCUGAGGCACGAAAGCGUGGGGAUCGAACAGGAUUAGAUACCCGUGUAGUCC